GCGAGCGGAUCCCCUUCGGGGGUGAAGCUCGUGGAACGAGCGGCGGACGGGUGAGUAACACGUGGGCAACCUGCCUGUAAGACCGGAAUAACCCCGGGAAACCGGGGCUAAUGCCGGGUAACACCUACCUUCGCAUGAAGGAAGGUUAAAAGAUGGCUUCUCGCUAUCACUUACAGAUGGGCCCGCGGCGCAUUAGCUAGUUGGUGAGGUAACAGCUCACCAAGGCGACGAUGCGUAGCCGACCUGAGAGGGUGAUCGGCCACACUGGGACUGAGACACGGCCCAGACUCCUACGGGAGGCAGCAGUAGGGAAUCUUCCGCAAUGGACGAAAGUCUGACGGAGCAACGCCGCGUGAACGAUGAAGGUCUUCGGAUCGUAAAGUUCUGUUGUUAGGGAAGAACAAGUACCGUGCGAAUAGAGCGGUACCUUGACGGUACCUAACGAGGAAGCCCCGGCUAACUACGUGCCAGCAGCCGCGGUAAUACGUAGGGGGCAAGCGUUGUCCGGAAUUAUUGGGCGUAAAGCGCGCGCAGGCGGUUUCUUAAGUCUGAUGUGAAAGCCCACGGCUCAACCGUGGAGGGUCAUUGGAAACUGGGGAACUUGAGGACAGAAGAGGAGAGUGGAAUUCCACGUGUAGCGGUGAAAUGCGUAGAUAUGUGGAGGAACACCAGUGGCGAAGGCGACUCUCUGGUCUGUUUCUGACGCUG
rnacentral:rRNA from 1 species